rnacentral:rRNA from 1 species
GUGAGGAAUUUUCCGCAAUGGGCGAAAGCCUGACGGAGCAAUGCCGCGUGAAGGAUGAAGGCCUAUGGGUUGUAAACUUCUUUUCUCAGAAAAGAAUCAUGACGGUAUCUGAGGAAUAAGCAUCGGCUAACUCUGUGCCAGCAGCCGCGGUAAGACAGAGGAUGCAAGCGUUAUCCGGAAUGAUUGGGCGUAAAGCGUCUGUAGGUUGUUUAAAAAGUAUUCUGUCAAAGAUUAGGGCUUAACCCUAGAUAGGCAGAAUAAACUUUUAAGCUAGAGUUUGGUAGAGGCAGAGGGAAUUCCCGGUGGAGCGGUGAAAUGCGUAGAUAUCGGGAGGAACACCAAAGGCGAAGGCACUCUGCUGGGCCAAUACUAACACUGAGAGACGAAAGCGAGGGGAGCAAAUGGGAUUAGAUACCCCUGUAGUCC